CCUACGGGUGGCUGCAGUGAGGAAUAUUGGUCAAUGGCCGAGAGCCUGAACCAGCCAAGUCGCGUGAAGGAUGACGGCCCUACGGGUUGUAAACCUCUUUUAUCUGGGAGCAAAGUGAGCCACGUGUGCCUCUUUGUAAGUACCCUAUGAAUAAGCAUCGGCUAACUCCGUGCCAGCAGCCGCGGUAAUACGGAGGAUGCGAGCGUUAUCCGGAUUUAUUGGGUUUAAAGGGUGCGUAGGUGGGUGGUGAAGUCAGCGGUCAAAGUUUGGGGCUCAACCCCAUAAUUGCCGUUGAAACUGGUUGCCUUGAGUACACUUGAGGUAGGCGGAAUGCGUGGUGUAGCGGUGAAAUGCAUAGAUAUCACGCAGAACUCCGAUUGCGAAGGCAGCCUACUGA
rnacentral:rRNA from 1 species